GAGAGCGAUUAGAGACAAGAUUUUGACAUCUUUAUUUAGACUAGAUUUUUGUUUUAGUUUGAUGCAAGAUUUUGGAAUAUUAUUGGUUGUGUAAGACUUUUAGUCAUGUUAAUUAAUUAGAAUUUAAACAUUAUUAUUUAAAUUAUUUCUACUGUUUGAUUAUGAUAUCAUGUUGAAAUGCCAUGCAUGCUCGUGGUGAGAGUUUUCUAUAAGUAUGUGGUGGUUGCCGCAACCUCCAGCUUGUGAUCUCGGAAUAGGGGC
rnacentral:lncRNA from 1 species